rnacentral:lncRNA from 1 species
UGAACAAAAAGAUAUAAGAAAAAGCAAGAAAACAAUAAAAAAUGAAAAUACAAAAUACAAAAUAUAUAAAAAUAAUUAAAACAAAAAGAAUGAAAGCAAAUGAACAAAUAAAUUAAAAGAAAAAAAGGAAUUAAUGAAAAAUUAUAAAAAUAGAAUAGAUAAUAGCAAAAAAAAUGAAACAAACCAAAAGAAGAAAAGAUUAAAAAAUAAAAGUAAAUAUCCAUAACAUUAUAAAAUUUUUAUAAAAAAUAACAAAAAUUAACAAUAAAAAAUAAAAGGAAAAAUAAAAUAAAAGAUUAGUAAAGCAAAAGGAAAAAGAUAAAAUAAGUACUAAAAAAGAGAAAAAUUAAAAAUAAACAAAAACGCAAUUAAAAAAAGUAAGAAAAUUAAAAAGAGUUAAAAGAAAAAAUUAAAAAAUACAAAAACUAAUAAAAAUGAAAAAAAGAAAAGAAAAAGACAAUAGAAAAAAUUUUAGUUUAUAAAAUACAAACGAAAAAUAAAAAAUAUAACAAAUAAUAAGAAAUAAAGAUAAAAAUCAAUGAUUAAAAAAAGAAAAAAGUUAAUAAAAAAUAAAAACAAAAGAAAGAAGUGUGGAUAAAAAACACAAAUUAAAAAGAAAUGCCAAAAAAAACCCAAAAAUAAAAAGAAGAAAAACCUUAAGAAAAAAAAUGAAAAAAAUAAAGAUAAAAAGUAAAAAGAGUACAAAAAGAAAAAAAAUAAUAGAAAAUAAUGUAAAUGACCAAUUAGAUUAGAGCAACAAAAAAAUCAAAGUAAAAAAGAAAAUAAGUAGUGAAAGAAUAAUAUAAUGAAGAUAAGAAAGAAGGUUUUUUGUAAAAAAAAAAAAAAAAAAGAAAAAUAUACUACAUAACAAAAAUAUAAUAAAUGAAUAAUUAGGAAAAUGUAUAAAAAGUAAAAAAAAAAACAAAAAGCUUUAAAAAAGGAAAUAAAAAAAUUCUACAAAGUUCAAUCUUUAAUUUAUGUUUUAAAACUUAAUUUGAAUUUGAAAGUUUAGAUGCAAAAUAUUUUGAUUUGAAUUUAUUGAUUUAAAUUUAAAAUUUUUAAUUUUUAAAUCGUUAAAAAUGUAAAAAUAUAAAUACAUGAAGAUAUAGAUAUAACAAUUCCAAACUAGUGUUAUUAUAUAUAAGCCAAUAAAAUUCCAAAAGAAAAUAACAAAGAUAAUUAUUAUCUCUUAACAAAUUGUAUCAAAUAAAAGAUAAAUAUUAUACAAUCCAAAAUAAUAAAUAAAAUAAUCCAAAUUUUAUUAAAUAAAAGAUAAAUAUUAUACAAUAUAAUUUUGUUAAUUAGAUAAAUUACACGAUAAAUAAAAAUAAAUUUCAAGAUAAAAUACAAGAUGAAUUUAAUUAGAUAUCUAAUUAGUAUACAUGCACAUAACAUCUUCAAUUUCUAAUGAAAUCAAAGUCUCAUUCAACAAUGUUUUAAUGUCCAUAACAUUAUAAAAUUUUUAUAAAAAAACAAAAUAACAAAAAUUAAAAAUAAAAAAUAAAAGGAAAAAAGAUAAAAAAAGCAUUAAAAAAAAGAAAAAAAAAUUAAAAAGAGCACAAAAUAGAAAAAAUAAAAAAGUGAGGAAAUGAAAAAUUAACGAGUCAAAAGAAAAAAUUGUAAAAAUACAAAAGCUAAUAAAAAUUUCAAAAAUGAAGAAAAAAUGACAAAAUAGAAAACAAAUUUAGUUUAUAAAAUACAAACAAAAAAUAAAAAAUAUAACAAAUAAUAAGAUAUAAAGAUAUAAA